rnacentral:misc_RNA from 1 species
AAGUCGUAACAAGGUUUCCGUAGGUGAACCUGCGGAAGGAUCAUUAACACGUAUCCAAACGUUUAAAAAAAAAAGAAAACCCCCCUGUGAACAUUUGCUUGCUCUUGCAGCCCGCCUGGCUAGAAAAUCCCUGGUAAAUCAUCGCUGAACUAGUUUGAUUCAGGGACCGUCUGGUUGGGUGAGAGCCAUAGCUGCAAUCGAGAGAUCGUGGCAUAACCAAGCCUGCUCCGUAAAGUCCCCUGCGUACGUGAAAGUGGUAUUGGGGUGUAUGUACUGGAGAUGUAGGCGUUCGUGCCCCCGAGGAUUACCCCGCUACCAGUCGAAACGACCAACCUGCGCAACCAUUACGUGUUGAGCCCGUGGGCGUCGAUACUUGAACAACUGUUAACAAUGGAUAUCUUGGUUCUC